UUCGGAACGGGGUUGAAGUAACGCGUGAGAAUCUACCUUUAGGGAAUGUCACUAUAGAUAGGACGAUUGCUAAUACCCGAUAUGCCCUUCGGGGUGAAAAGUUUUUUCGCCUAAAGAUGAGCUCGCGUCCGAUUAGCUAGUAGGUAGUGUAAUGGACUACCUAGGCGAUGAUCGGUAGCUGGUUUGAGAGGACAAUCAGCCACACUGGGACUGAGACACGGCCCAGACUCCUACGGGAGGCAGCAGUGGGGAAUUUUCCGCAAUGGGCGCAAGCCUGACGGAGCAAUACCGCGUGGGGGAGGAAGGUCUGUGGAUUGUAAACCCCUUUUCUCAGGGAAGAAGCUCUGACGGUACCUGAGGAAUCAGCAUCGGCUAACUCCGUGCCAGCAGCCGCGGUAAUACGGAGGAUGCAAGCGUUAUCCGGAAUUAUUGGGCGUAAAGCGUCCGCAGGCGGCUAGAUAAGUCUGCUUUCAAAGAGUGGGGCUCAACCCCAUAAAGGGAGUGGAAACUGUUUAGCUAGAGUAUGGUAGGGGCAGAGGGAAUUCCCAGUGUAGCGGUGAAAUGCGUAGAUAUUGGGAAGAACACCAGUGGCGAAAGCGCUCUGCUGGACCGAGACUGACGCUGAGGGACGAAAGCUAGGGGAGCGAAAGGGAUUAGAUACCCCCCUGGUAGUUC
rnacentral:rRNA from 2 species